AGACCUCUAAUCGGAAAAGACCACCCGCUGAGUUUAAGCAUAUCAAU
rnacentral:rRNA from 2 species